rnacentral:tRNA from 1 species
GGGUCUGUAGCUUAAUUGGUAAAGCGUCUAACUGGCUGUUAGAAAAAUGUCGGUUCGAUUCCGACCAGUAUCCACCA